GAUGAACGCUGACAGAAUGCUUAACACAUGCAAGUCAACUUGAAUUUGGGUUUUUUAACUUAGAUUUGGGUGGCGGACGGGUGAGUAACGCGUAAAGAACUUGCCUCACGGCUAGGGACAACAUUUGGAAACGAAUGCUAAUACCUGAUAUUAUGAUUAUAAGGCAUCUUAGAAUUAUGAAAGCUAUAUGCGCUGUGAGAGAGCUUUGCGUCCCAUUAGCUAGUUGGAGAGGUAACGGCUCACCAAGGCGAUGAUGGGUAGCCGGCCUGAGAGGGUGAACGGCCACAAGGGGACUGAGACACGGCCCUUACUCCUACGGGAGGCAGCAGUGGGGAAUAUUGGACAAUGGACCAAGAGUCUGAUCCAGCAAUUCUGUGUGCACGAUGACGUUUUUCGGAAUGUAAAGUGCUUUCAGUUGGGAAGAAAAAAAUGACGGUACCAACAGAAGAAGUGACGGCUAAAUACGUG
rnacentral:rRNA from 1 species